GACCCGAAGCCCGGCAGCUCGUUGGGGCCCUGGGCAGUCGGGUGGACGGCCCCGCCUUUGCGCGUUCUGUCCAGGAUGCCCGCCAGCCGGCCCCCUGCCGCGCGGCGCCAGCUCCCCGAGUGGGGACCGGGAGGGGGCUGGCCGCCGCGGCUCCCACGCGCGGAGCGUCCCUGCCUGGCUCGGGGCGUCCAGACGCCGUGAAAUCCGUGGACCCGGCGCCCGGGGCGCAAUGUUUAGGCUGGCACGAGUUCCGGGCGGGGCCCAGAGUUGUUCUGGCCAGAGGGUUUGGGCGGAUGAGCGAAUGUUGUGGACACCCUGUUCUGUGGAUGGGUGGGGGAAGCAACGGUCGCCCGUGGCCCUGAUCUCCGGGUCUGAGCGGGCUAGGUGGUGGUGUUCCUCAGGUGUCGGGGCGGAGAGGACCCUGGCCUGGUCCCCCGGUUACGGAGGAGCCGAGAUUCAGUGUCUCUGGCCCUGGGAAUCCGAGAUUUUAUACCUCAAAAGUGUUCCCAUCUUGUUGGCUUUUGCGGUUCGGCCUUCAGAUACGAGCUGUCUCCUGUGUCUGAUGCUGCAGCAGAUGGGACCAAGGCCCCAAGAGGGAAGUCACUUACCAGAGUGUGUAGGUUCUUCAUCCAGAGCUCAAGUCUUCUGACUCUUGGGAACAGCAAGAGCUGCCCUUCCAGCUCCUCUCCUCACGUGCUUGUCUGAGUGGGCCUGCAGUGACCCAGAGUGAAUUCGCCAUUGGCCCAACAUGAACUGGAAGGUCCUUGAACACGUGCCCCUGCUACUGUAUAUCUUGGCAGCCAAAACCUUAAUUCUCUGCCUGGCAUUUGCCGGAGUCAAAAUAUACCAAAGGAAAAGAUUGGAAGCAAAACAGCAAAAACUGGAAGCUGAGAAAAAGCAGCAGUCCGAGAAGAAAGAGAACUAGAGGGAAAUCAGAGAAUCUGCAAUUUAAAUGUCAGCCUGAGCGGAUUUCAGCUGAGAAGAAAGAAGAGACAAUUACUGAAUGGUGUGUCAAAGGAUAAACUCCCAACCUGUAGGGUUAACUUAAAAUUAUAUGGACUUUUUCAUGCUCUUAAAAGAACCCAUAUUUUGUUUACUAAAAUAAAAUACCUUUGUAAAAAA